AUUGAACGCUGGCGGCAUGCCUUACACAUGCAAGUCGAACGGCAGCACGGGUGCUUGCACCUGGUGGCGAGUGGCGAACGGGUGAGUAAUACAUCGGAACGUACCUUAUCGUGGGGGAUAACGCAGCGAAAGCUGUGCUAAUACCGCAUACGCCCUGAGGGGGAAAGCGGGGGAUCGCAAGACCUCGCGCGAUUAGAGCGGCCGAUGCCUGAUUAGCUUGUUGGUGGGGUAAAAGCCCACCAAGGCGACGAUCAGUAGCUGGUCGGAGAGGACGAUCAGCAACACUGGGACUGAGACACGGCCCAGACUCCUACGGGAGGCAGCAGUGGGGAAUUUUGGACAAUGGGGGCAACCCUGAUCCAGCAAUGCCGCGUGAGUGAAGAAGGCCUUCGGGUUGUAAAGCUCUUUUGUCAGAGAAGAAACACCGGCUCUAACACAGUCCGGGAAUGACGGUACCUGAAGAAUAAGCACCGGCUAACUACGUGCCAGCCGCCGCAGUAA
rnacentral:rRNA from 1 species